rfam:Chryseobacterium haifense DSM 19056 contig11, whole genome shotgun sequence.
UUCUAGCCCCGAUUGUAGUGAAAAUCCUUUUUUGCGGCGGCUCCGCCGCCGCAAAAAAGAUUGCAACGGAAAGCGGGACCGAAC